rnacentral:lncRNA from 1 species
AUUAUUACUACUACUACGAUGCUUUUUUUAUUUUUUGGUUUUUAUAUUUAGAUGAAAUAACUCAAUUUGUAAAUUUAUAACAAUAACCUAAAAUUUCAUGUAAAAUACUUAAUUCUAAAUUUAAUCAAUUUAAAUUGAAAAAUAAAAUUUCAACAUCAAUCCAACUCAAAUUCUCAAAUUUGAUUAUGAAAUACAUAAGUUCAUCAAAACUAAAAAGUGCUUUCUAUUUUGUUUUUUAAAAUCACAAACUAGUAUUCAAAAGUAAUUUACCAUUUAUUCACUUUAAAUAUUUUUAGGUUUAAAUAUUUUUAAAUUUAAAUUUAAAAAAAUUGAAAAAAAAAUGUUGGCAGAUACCAAUGUAAGUACCCACUAGAUAUUUGGCACAUACUAAAUGUGGGUUUUAAGUUGUAAUACCAAACCCACCGACAACGGACAAAAUAACCUACAACGGACGAGUUUUGAUGGAUAAAUUUGAGUGAAUUUACGGGUACUAUUAUCAUCCUUAAACUUGGUCCCAAAUAAAUUUAUGCGAAAAAACCCCCCAUUAACCUUUGUAAUUAGAUGCAAUAACUAUUUUAUCUUUACUUUUUAAAUUAUUUAUUUCAUCUUUACUUUUUGUUUAAAAGGAGUUUGAGAUAUUGAUCUGAACUAGUAAGUUGAUUAGACGUGGCUAGAAAAGUCAAUUAAAUAAAGUUAGCCCAUUUAAUUAAAUAGCAGGAUUGCUCAGAGAAAACAAAAGAUAAAGUCCUUGGAAAAGGACGAUUUUAGUAAAUACGAUCAACAUCAAGGGCUAUUAUUAGAACCCAAAUUUAGUUGCCAGAGUUAAUACGUGAACAGUAGCAUGUUAUUAUGAAAAAGAAUAAAAUAUUUCUUUUUGGCUAAAAUGAAGGAGCUAAUGAGGGUGUAGAUUCCUUAAGCAAAGUAAUGAGGAGGAACCAUGUCACCUACCCCUGUUGUUUUAUAAAAAGCUGCAAGACCAUAACGCUAAAGCAAAAUACAGAAGCAAAGAUGGCGCUGAAGGCUUUUUGCCCCCAAGCUCACCAAUGUCACCAUCAAAAGUGAAACAAAUGAAAAUGCCAAAAUAACCUCACCUAAGGGAGGCCAAGCAGUGAAUAUCCGUCAAAUGUCCAAAAUUGACCAAAUUAACCCUCAACCACACUCCAAUAGGAAGCUCAAGAAUUCUCCAAAAUGGGUAACAUCUUAUCCAUUAAAAAAAUGCAUUUGUCUUUUUCAACUUAAACAACUAACGCCAUUACUAAAGAUUCAAAAUUCUUUACACCUUGAGGCCAUUUCUUUAUUGUCCAAAAUCUUACUUGAGCAUCGGAGUGUGGUCAUUGGCCAUUGUUGACUCAAUCUCUAACCUCAGUUUAUUCCAUUUUAUAAGUUUAAAAUAGCUCAAUAGCUUAAGGGUUUCAUCUACGUCUUAACUUUCAACACCUAAAACUCGUCGAGUUAUCUUUCCUCCUCUUGUAAAAUGAGACCUCAAGCUUAACAAGGCAACUUUACUUCCUUCUAAAUAAAUUUAUUUGUUUUAACUGAAUCCACCAAAAUCCUGUUAAAACACUUUUCAACAAUAACCCUAGUUACCAUUUCAUGAAUUUAUAGUUAGUUUAUUAAAUAAUUCAUUGAGGACAAAAUAGAAUUUUUAAUUAAAUAGAUACAAAUCAUUUUAAAAUAAAAAUUUCAAGUACAAUUAAAUAAAAUUUGCGUAAUACCCCAACAUCUUGAUGCCGUUGGGAACCGAGAUGUUACGAAACAAUUUGUUCCAUCAUCCUUAAAACUCAUGCAAAUAAUAAAGAACAAAAAGCAUAAAUCUAAACUUGACAUCCAACCCAUAAUUGAAUUUCAGAAAUUUUCGCUUAUCGUCUAUAUGGAAACUCACUCAUCCAAAGAGCCUAGCAUAAUAACAUAUAAAAGUCUCGAACAAAAACAUCCAUCUAUAAACUCAAUCUAGAAAAUGUUAUAAGAUGAGGAGUGAACUACUAACUUGGUAAGUAAACCCAUACAUAACAUUAUCCUAUGUCUAUCUAGUAUAUGAUAACUAUUUAUUGAAGCACUUAUGUCUUUAAACAAUGAGCAUUUAAGUCUUUCGGACGUUAAAACAAUUAAACAAAUUUAAAAUCAUAUGUGAAGUACAAAUCAAUAUGAUAUCAUAUUUGAAUGCAUGUAUUAAUCAUUUAAAAAUAUAAAUAUAUAGACAAAUAACUUUUAAGCCAAAAAUCAUUUGAACAUAUAACCAUUUUAUCAAUAAAUCAUUUCAUUUAAAACAAUUGCUUAUGCCACGUAGUAGGGGUGUUCAAAAUCCAAUCUAAUCCACUUAAUCCGUCUAAUAUGUAGAAAUCCAAUUUAUGGAUUGGUGGAUUAAAUUGGAUUGAAAAUUUAAAAAUUCGUAGUCAAUAGAUUGGAUAUAGAUUUACUUCUAUAAAUCUACAAAAAUCCGCGAAUCCGUAAAAAA